rnacentral:snRNA from 1 species
GUGUUUGCUUUGGCAGCACAUACACUAAAAUUGGAAUAAUACACAAGAAGAUUAGCACUGCCCCAUGCAAGCAUGACACAAAAAUUCAUGAAACAUUCCAUAUGUAA